rnacentral:rRNA from 1 species
GCAUAGCGGUAUCCUGAGUAACGCGGGACACGAGGAAUCCUGCGCGAAUCUGCCGGGACCAUCCGGUAAGGCUAAAUACUCCCGUGAGACCGAUAGCGAACGAGUACUGUGAAGGAAAGGUGAAAAGAACCCCGAGCAGGGGAGUGAAAUAGUUCCUGAAACCAUACGCCUACAAGCGGUCGGAGCAUCGCAAGAUGUGACGGCGUGCCUUUUGCAUAAUGAUCCUACGAGUUACCGUCACUGGCGAGGUUGAGUGUCAUGAGACACGUAGCCGCAGUGAAAGCGAGCCUGAAUAGGGCGCACAGUCAGUGGGGGUAGACGCGAAACCAAGUGAUCUACACUUGGCCAGGAUGAAGUCCCGGUAACACGGGAUGGAGGUCCGCACCAAUAAGCGUUGAAAAGCUUCUGGAUGAGCCGAGUGUAGGAGUGAAAGGCCAAUCAAACUUGGAGAUAGCUCGUACUCCCCGAAAGGCAUUUAGGUGCCGCGUCGGAUGGUCACCGUGAGAGGUAGAGCGACCGAUAGGACAAGAGGGCUUCACCGCCUAUCGAGUCCUGACGAACUCCGAAUGCUCACGGUCUGCAGUCCGGCAGUAAGGGGGCGGGUGCUAAGGUCCGUCCCCGAGAGGAGAAGAAUCCAGACCGCCGUCUAAGGUCCCGGAGUUCUGCCUGAGUUAGUCUAACGAAGUCUGGUCCCUAUGACAGCUAGGAUGUUGGCUUGGAAGCAGCCAUUCAUUCAAAGAGUGCGUAACAGCUCACUAGUCGAGGGUCCGGGCAUGGAUAAUAAUCGGGUAUAAGGCAGACACCGAAGGCGCGGGAUAGCAAUUAUAAAAGUAUCGGUAGGGGAGCAUACUCACAGCGUCGAAUGGUGUACGUAAGUUAUCCUGGAGCGGUGAGUAAAGCAAAUGUAGGAAUAAGUAACGAUAAGGAGGGUUAGAUUCCCUCCCGCUGUAAGACCAAGGUUUCCCGGGCAAUGCCAAUCAGCCCGGGGUCAGUCGGGUCCUAAGUCUAAGCCGAACGGCGAUGGCGAUGGCAGAGACGGUUAAUAUUCCGUCACUGCCGCAUGGGGCGACGUGGAGACGGAGCAGUGAAACCACCGCGGGGCGACGGAAGUCCCCGUUGAAGGGUGUAGGCGUUGAGGAAGGCAGGCAAAUCCACCUUCCGAGCUGAACCUGACAGUACGGAGUCCUCCUCGGAGGAAUCUGAUAGUGUGGGUAAUCAUACUCCCGAGAAAAUCCGCUAAGCUUAACCCAUGCGGCACCCGUACCGCAAACGGACACACGUGGUCGGGUAGAACAUACUAAGGCGUUGAGAGAUUCAUGGUUAAGGAACUAGGCAAAUUGACCCUGUAACUUCGGGAUAAAGGGUCCUCGUGAUGAGCGAGGCGCAGAGAAUAGGUCCAGGCAACUGUUUAACAAAAACACAGGGCUGUGCAAACUCGAAAGAUGACGUAUACAGCCUGACACCUGCCCGGUGCCGGAAGGUUAAGAGGAGAUGUCACUCGCAAGAGGAAGCAUUGAAUUGAAGCCCCGGUAAACGGCGGCCGUAACUAUAACGGUCCUAAGGUAGCGAAAUUCCUUGUCGGGUAAGUUCCGACCUGCACGAAUGGUGUAAUGAUCCGGACGCUGUCUCAACCAUGAGCUCAGUGAAAUUGUAGUAUCGGUGAAGAUGCCGAUUACCCGCGAUGGGACGAAAAGACCCCGUGAACCUUUACUACAGCUUAGCAUUGACCUUGGUCAUCCGAUGUGUAGGAUAGGCCGGAGGCUUUGAAGCGGGAGCGCCAGCUUUCGUGGAGCCAUCCUUGAAAUACGGCCCUUUGGCUGUCUGAGGUCUAACGCGUGAUGCGCGGACACUGCUUGGUGGGUAGUUUGACUGGGGUGGUCGCCUCCAAAAGCGUAACGGAGGCUUCCAAAGGUGCCCUCGGGUCGAUUGGUAACCGACCUCAAAGAGUGCAAUGGCAUAAGGGCGCUUGACUGGGAGGCAGACAUGCCGAGCAGGCAGGAAACUGGGGCAUAGUGAUCCGGCGGAUGUGUAUGGAAACUCCGUCGCGCAAAGGAUAAAAGGUACUCCGGGGAUAACACAUAGGUGGCGAGCUUGUAGUCGUACAGCGAGGAGUCGGAACGACGGCCGGUCACGACGGCGCGACCGCCGUGCAGGACCAUGCGAAUCUCACCGGACACGUACUUCUGGGUGUCCUCGAUGAACGCGUUGAGCGACUGAGUCGCCGGGGAGAACCACUGCGCAUCGUAGACCAACUCGCCCCAGCGCUUGUCGAUGUCGCGCUUGAUGCGGUGCUGUUCGCGUUCGAGGCAGCAGUUCUCAAGCUCCUGAUGAGCGGUAAUCAGGGCCACGGCACCCGGGGCCUCGUACAGCUCGCGGGACUUGAUGCC